UUUCAAUUAGUUUAAUAAAUAAAAUUUUGAUUUGUGGUAUCAAUGAUUCUCUUUUUGAGAAUUGAAAA
rnacentral:tRNA from 1 species